GACGAACGCUGGCGGCGUGCCUAAUACAUGCAAGUCGAACGCAUUUUCUUUCACCGUAGCUUGCUACACCGAAAGAAAAUGAGUGGCGAACGGGUGAGUAACACGUGGGUAACCUGCCCAUCAGCGGGGGAUAACACUUGGAAACAGGUGCUAAUACCGCAUAAUUCCAUUUACCGCAUGGUAAAUGGAUGAAAGGCGCUUUUGCGUCACUGAUGGAUGGACCCGCGGUGCAUUAGCUAGUUGGUGGGGUAACGGCCUACCAAGGCUGCGAUGCAUAGCCGACCUGAGAGGGUGAUCGGCCACACUGGGACUGAGACACGGCCCAGACUCCUACGGGAGGCAGCAGUAGGGAAUCUUCGGCAAUGGACGCAAGUCUGACCGAGCAACGCCGCGUGAUUGAAGAAGGUUUUCGGAUCGUAAAACUCUGUUGUUAGAGAAGAACAAGGAUGAGAGUGGAAAGUUCAUCCCUGGACGGUAUCUAACCAGAAAGCCACGGCUAACUACGU
rnacentral:rRNA from 1 species